ensembl:lncRNA LINC02237 long intergenic non-protein coding RNA 2237
UCUCUCUUAGGGAAAACCAGCACCAAAGUUCUAGAGUCUGGACGUCUGAGAUCAGGGUGCCAGCACUGUCGAGGUCACAGACUGCAGACCUCCUUGUAUCUUCAAAUGGAGGAAAGAGGACAAGAGAGCUCCUGUGGUCCCUUUUAUCAAGAUGAAUGCACAAGGAAAAUGUUGUACAUUUGCACAUUGGAGUACACUUCAGCCAUAAAAAGAAUGAGAUGCUGUCAUUUGCAACAACAGUUGAAGCCUAGUCAAGAAGAGGGCUCAGAGAAGCUUGACUAAAGUUUCAUGAAGAGAGUCUCUGUCAGUGGUGGGUCUUUGAUUCUCAAGGAAGCUGUCAGAAGCUUCAUCUAACUUCUCUUCCACUCUACUUUCUUCUGGGGAAGAAGUGACCCAACAAUUUGAUCUAAUAUUUGCCUGAUAAUAUUGAACAUCCUUGCAUCCAUUAAAGUUUACUGUUCUAAGACUUACUUUAACCAAGGUCAACAGCAAUCUGAGACACACUCUUCUCAUGGCAGAUUAUGGGACCAUAAAGCAGGAGAAGAGAAAGGAAGCUGCAGUCCCUGUAUAACUCCUAAAUUUUUAAUUUGGAGUUCCUCUUCUUCGGUGCAACAAUCUUUCUGCAUGCACAGAUCCAUGUGGCACUCAUCUCAUCAUUCUGAGGGAAGAAAGAUGCAUAGGGAAUGUUGCAUGUGGUUAUUUCUGCAGAACCCACAGAAAACAAUAAAGCACGAGAGAAAAGAGGAUGGCAGUUUACCCAGGAAACAUAGGUUGUGCAAAGCUUUGCAAUGAUACUCUCAAUUCAGAGCAAUGAAGAACAGAAUGCUGUCUUCCCAUAAUGAUGGCAUUCAAUUAUCACUAGACUUACAAGACUACAGAAAAUUUCUCAAGAACCAGUAAGGAUCAGACAGAGCCAAUGACAAUACUGAAGAAGCUUGCCAGUGGAGAAUGAAAGCUCAGUUACACAAAUUACGUUGUUGAACCAGUGCCAGAAAUAAAAUGUGAUGGACAAACUCAUUAA